AUGGUCGACCUGCAGGCGGCCGCGAAUUCACUAGUGAUUAGAGUUUGAUCAUGGCUCAGAUUGAACGCUGGCGGCAGGCCUAACACAUGCAAGUCGAGCGGCAGCGGGGGGAGCUUGCUUCCCCGCCGGCGAGCGGCGGACGGGUGAGUAAUGUCUGGGGAUCUGCCCGAUGGAGGGGGAUAACCACUGGAAACGGUGGCUAAUACCGCAUAACCUCUUUGGAGUAAAGUGGGGGACCUUCGGGCCUCACGCCAUCGGAUGAACCCAGAUGGGAUUAGCUAGUAGGUGGGGUAAUGGCUCACCUAGGCGACGAUCCCUAGCUGGUCUGAGAGGAUGACCAGCCACACUGGGACUGAGACACGGCCCAGACUCUACGGGAGGCAGCAGUGGGGAAUAUUGCACAAUGGGCGCAAGCCUGAUGCAGCCAUGCCGCGUGUAUGAAGAAGGCCUCGGGUUAUAAAGUACUUUCAGCGGGGAGAAGGCAACAGCGUAAAUAGCGCUGUGAUUGACGUUACCCGCAGAGAAGCACCGGCUAA
rnacentral:rRNA from 1 species